rnacentral:tRNA from 1 species
GCGCACGUGGCGGAAUUGGUAGACGCGCCAGCUUGAGGGGUUGGUGAACAUUAGUUCGUGGAAGUUCGAAUCUUCUCGUGCGCACAA